rnacentral:lncRNA from 1 species
UCUCUCGUCAAAUCAACUCUAAAGUUUUAAACCCUUCGAUAUCUCUCCUCAUCCUCCUUGAAAUUCUGCGACAGCUCGUCGCCGGGACUCAGCUGUCACACCCCAAUUCUUGAAUGAAUAAAUAUAAUCGAGGUGCAACUAAUUCAUAGAAAUAAACAAGGAACAAUCUUGUUAAAACCCGAAUAAUAAGAUAACGAGUCGGGCUAGGCCCCUUUGGAUCAUAAGUUUUGUUUCAUGUUUCUGACAACCGACGUUCAUUAACAUAAAACUAGAAAUUUUAAAUUGAAGCUUGACAUGAAAUCAUCUUAAGUUGAGAAAAUAAAAGGUGUAUAAGAGUCAUUACUACAGCGGAAGUCUAUAUAGAAAUUGAACCCUAGCCUCAGUCCCGUCAGCACCGGCCAGCCAACCUGAAAACAUUUGAAAGUAUUUUUGGGCUAAGUACUAAUGUACUCAGUGGGCAUGCAUUUUCAUAAAUAUUUCAUAUUUUCGUAAGAGCAGUUUAUCCAAUCAUACUUGACAUGACUUAGAAGGUUUUAAAUUGAAAGAACUUCUAAGCAUGUUAAAAUAAUUUCUUUCAUUUGUGCGCACAUGUCACACUCCCUUUCCGUUACUCGCUGUGAUCCCGGACCUUUUAGCCACCGACGGAUCCAUUACUCCCAUUUACUUGAACUGAGGGCGUAACCCAGACAAGUUGAUUGACCUCGGGACGUACCCAGGCAGACCUUACAUUACAUGCUCCGGAACACAUCCAGCCAAGCACCCUUAUAACACCUCUAGUCAGUGCCCGAUGGAGAUCAACCCACCAAGUCAGCUAACAAGUGUACACAAUUCUCAAAUAACGUGUUAGGUCAUAAGAGAACCUCAAUUGAUUCGUUGUGCGAGCCUUAAACAGAGCAGAGUGCACAUAAACAUUUUAUUGGAUAAACAGUUUGCAUUUCAUUGAAUAAACAAUUUGCAUUUCAUUGAAACAUUUAGAGCUUAAUAACUCAAUCAUACUUUAUACAUUUGGAAAGUAAGCCCACCUGGAUAGGCAAAGCCUGAAGAUCAUA